UACAGAGGGUGCAAGCGUUGUUCGGAAUUAUUGGGCGUAAAGCGCGUGUAGGCGGCAUGGCAAGUCGGGUGUGAAAGCCCUCAGCUCAACUGAGGAAGUGCGCCCGAAACUGCUUUGCUUGAGUGCUGGAGAGGGUCGCGGAAUUCCCCAAGUAGAGGUGAAAUUCGUAGAUAUGGGGAGGAACACCGGUGGCGAAGGCGGCGACCUGGACCGGCAUUGACGCUGAGGUGCGAAAGCGUGGGGAGCAAACAGG
rnacentral:rRNA from 1 species